AUACGGAGGAUCCGAGCGUUAUCCGGAUUUAUUGGGUUUAAAGGGUGCGCAGGCGGGAUGUUAAGUCGGCGGUGAAAUUUUGCAGCUCCAAUGUAAAAGUGCCUUCGAUACUGGCUUUCUUGAGUGGGGGAGAAGGAGGGGGGAUUUGGGGUGUAGCGGUGAAAUGCUUAGAUAUCACGAGGAACUCCGAUUGCGCAGGCAGCUUACUAAACCACUACUGACGCUCAUGCACGAAGGCGUGGGGAUCAAACAGGAUUAGAUACCCUGGUAGUCCACGCAGUAAACGAUGAUUACUAGUUGUUUGCGAUACAAUGUAAGCGACUGAGCGAAAGCGUUAAGUAAUCCACCUGGGGAGUACGUUCGCAAGAAUGAAACUCAAAUGAAUUGACGGGG
rnacentral:rRNA from 1 species